GACGAACGCUGGCGGCGUGCCUAAUACAUGCAAGUAGAACGCACAGUUUAUACCGUAGCUUGCUACACCAUAGACUGUGAGUUGCGAACGGGUGAGUAACGCGUAGGUAACCUGCCUGGUAGCGGGGGAUAACUAUUGGAAACGAUAGCUAAUACCGCAUAAUAUUAAUUAUUGCAUGAUAAUUAAUUGAAAGGUGCAAUUGCACCACUACCAGAUGGACCUGCGUUGUAUUAGCUAGUAGGUGAGGUAACGGCUCACCUAGGCGACGAUACAUAGCCGACCUGAGAGGGUGAUCGGCCACACUGGGACUGAGACACGGCCCAGACUCCUACGGGAGGCAGCAGUAGGGAAUCUUCCGCAAUGGACGAAAGUCUGACCGAGCAACGCCGCGUGAGUGAAGAAGGUUUUCGGAUCGUAAAGCUCUGUUGUAAGAGAAGAACGGGUGUGAGAGUGGAAAGUUCACACUGUGACGGUAUCUUACCAGAAAGGGACGGCUAACUACGUG
rnacentral:rRNA from 1 species